GUACAGUCUAAACCACGGGGACAGUUUUUAUUAUAUUUUAAAUUUAACAUAUAUAAACGUCUUGUAAACACCAAAAAUUGUAAUAAUAGAGUAGUUUUAAUUACUACAUACGAAAAUAGGACUAUAUAUACUAUUUGAAUGUUUAAAAAAAAAGUUAAAUACGUAACUAACAUCUCAGGAUCGUCUGUAAUUCCCCGCCAUUUCCACACUUCUCAGGAAACCCUUCAUAUUUUAGCCUCAUUACCGCUGUGGAGGUUACCAAGGCAUAAAACACCACAGGCAAGGCACUACUAAUACCUAACCCCAUUGUGAACCCCACAGCUGCCAUCUAACCUCACGUAUCGCAGCGGGAGCUUGGGUGAUAUCCUAGCGUCCUUGGCCAGCCCUGGGACACCUCGGGACCUGCAGGGACAUGUAGCGAGGGACAUAAGGACCUUGAGAGAGAGAACAGGACACCAGAAUAACAAGGAUGCAAAAAGGACAUCAGGAAGUGAAAAAUAGGAUGUUGGAAUAAGAUAUCGCAGGAACAAAGCAGGAUUUAGAAA